rnacentral:rRNA from 1 species
GAGCCGGACCCAGGCCUUCGUGGUGAUACUCGUAGACGGCGUAACGGGUGAGCUAACACGUGUAGCAACCCUGCCCCUGAGCUCUGNGUAUAGCCUCCGGUAAACGGGGUAUUAAUACCGGUAUAUGACUGCCUCCUGCAUGGGGGGUGGUGGAAAGUUUUUCGGCUGGGGCGGGGCUCGCGGCCUAUCAGCUUGUUGGGGGGGUGACGGCCCACCAAGGCGACGACGGGUAGCCGGCCUGAUAGGGCGACCGGCCACACUGGGACUGAGACACGGCCCAGACUCCUGCGGGAGGCAGCAGUGGGGAAUAUUGCGCAAUGGGCGGAAGCCUGACGCAGCGACGCCGCGUGGGGGAUGAAGGCCUUCGGGUUGUAAACCUCUUUCACCAGGGUACGAAGCGGAAGUGACGGUACCUGGGGAAGAAGCGCCGGCUAACUACGUGCCAGCAGCCGCGGUAAU